AGCAGUCGCCGCGGGAACACGUAGGGUGCGAGCGUUAAUCGGAAUUACUGGGCGUAAAGCGUGCGCAGGCGGUGAGUUAAGUCUGCUGUGAAAUCCCCGGGCUCAACCUGGGAAUGGCAGUGGAUACUGGCUCGCUAGAGUGUGUCAGAGGAUGGUGGAAUUCCCGGUGUAGCGGUGAAAUGCGUAGAGAUCGGGAGGAACAUCAGUGGCGAAGGCGGCCAUCUGGGACAACACUGACGCUGAGGCACGAAAGCGUGGGGAGCAAACAGGAUUAGAUACCCGCGUAGUCCCUGUCUCUUAUAC
rnacentral:rRNA from 1 species